rnacentral:rRNA from 1 species
UACGAAGGGGGCUAGCGUUGCUCGGAAUUACUGGGCGUAAAGCGCACGUAGGCGGCUUCUUAAGUCGGUGGUGAAAUCCUGGAGCUCAACUCCAGAACUGCCUUCGAUACUGGGAGUCUCGAGUUCGGGAGAGGUGAGUGGAACUGCGAGUGUAGAGGUGAAAUUCGGUAGAUAUUCGCAAGAACACCAGUGGCGAAGGCGGCUCACUGGCCCGGAUAGUGACGCUGAGGUGCGAAAGCGUUGGGGAGCAAACAGG